GGAGGGAUGGUUGAGUGCCUUAAGGCAUUGGUCUGCUAAAUCGACAAAUCUUCCUGUAUCAUGGGUUCGAAUCCCAUUUCCUCCU
rnacentral:tRNA from 2 species